AAAAAAAACAAUUCGCCCCGUACAAUCACACCUCCAUCAAUCUCCCUUGCCUAGGGUUCCCUGCCACCACUGCCGAAGCCGCCGCCGAACCCCAGGUCAACGCACGCAGCCGCCGCUGCUGCUCCGUCUUCUAUCUCCUAUCUCUCUCUGAAUGGUGGCGAUGGUGGUCGCAAUGGGGAAAUGGAAGGUGGCGGAUGAGCGAAGGCCAUGGCCGCGAAGCAGGUUAGGCACCGCCGUAUGGACAGGAACGCGGGCGCUCGGAGGUACCUAGGAAAUCGGGAGGGGCUGAGCAGGACGGCCAAGGGCGUCGCCAAGGUCUUCGGCGUCCAGUUGUCCACGCCUUGAGAUGGUAAUCAUCUUAACUAUGAGCAAGUAGGUCGGAACUAUGAGCAAUUAGGUCACGUUUACGAUCUCAAGGAUCCAGUGAUGUUGAAUCUAAUAGUUGGACUUCACUGCCUUCUCAAUUUAUAUAGGUGAGCACUGUUGCUUGCUGACUCACACAGCAGGAAUUAGGCGGGUUGUGGCGAACGAGGAACCAAGAGGGGAAACUGUAGCUAUACAACUGCGGAAUUGAUCAAUACGAGCAUGCUUUGUCUAGCCAGGGAGAGCGCCGAGGGUGCUGGUCCGCGGCACCAGAAGAGUUGAACUCUCAACGAGAUACUAAUCAAUGGUGAAGUAUUUAGAUCAGUUCUACAACCAACUCAUGUUGCUUAUAACUGUAGCUUUUGUUCAAACCCCAGUUGUAGGUAAGCUACAUUGCCAAGUGCAAAUCCUUAUCUUACUACAGUUUUCAACUUUUCAUUGACAUUUUCCGUUUUGGACUGUAUGUCCAUUUUGGGCCCCAUUUUCGACUGUAGCUUUUGUCCUGACCCCACUUGUACGCAAUGUAAUUUGCAGCCAUGAUGUUACACUGCCAAUAUUUUAGAAAACUGUAAUUUGCUUCCAUGAUGUUACACACUUGCAGGUCUAUGGUAGUGUCACGAAUUUGGGGAUACAUCUCCUCGCACUCAGGUGGAAGAAAUUCCGAUCCUCGCCCUCAAGUCCAACUAAUUCAGGACCUGCAUCUCUGAUAUACCGUGGUUGGUUCCUUCCUUGAUGCCUUCUCUCUUCACAAUCGAUGAAAUACACAACUAGCUUCCACAUAUUUAAGGAGCAGGUACAGUUUCAUUGUGUAAAAAAUAGUAGCAGGUGAGUUUUUAUUCAAAGAAGUCUCCACCAGUCGACCUACAUAUAUAUACAUGCCUAAAUGAUCUCUUUGUUUGUAAACACUUUAAUAUUUUGGUACUUUCCAUAGGUGGGUAUUUUAGCAGUUCAGCUAUCUGAAAGAGAAAAUGAGUUGCUUCAGCAGAAAACCGAGGUCAUGACAUUAGCCGCUUCACUGAAACUGAGAAAGGAACAGUUUUCUUCUAUUGUGACAUGACAGGAAGCAAGGUCAUGUGUGAGACGGAGGAGGCAACUGAUUUGGCUCUUCAUCACGUUGGGACUGUUGCAGCCAUGUGUGAUGUGUCAAUUUCUAUGAUGGGACAGAGGGUAGAAUCAGGACGAUAUGACUAAGAAAUAGCGAAUAAGUGACUACUAGGGUGUCCGUACUAGCAACAUAAGUUACAUAAAUUUACUGAUCUUGAACUAAUUUGCACAUUCUUUAUUUGUCCGUCAUUUAGUUUUGCUUCCAUCCGAAAAACAUUAUAAAUCAGUAAUAAAGACAUGUACAGAUGAAAAACUAUGUAAAUAUUGGACAACUAUUUAUUGACAAUUAUUUGAUGACAA